AGUGAACGCUGGCGGUAGGCCUAACACAUGCAAGUCGAACGACAGCACAGUAAGAGCUUGCUCUUACGGGUGGCGAGUGGCGGACGGGUGAGGAAUACAUCGGAAUCUACUUUUUCGUGGGGGAUAACGUAGGGAAACUUACGCUAAUACCGCAUACGACCUACGGGUGAAAGCAGGGGAUCUUCGGACCUUGCGCGAUUGAAUGAGCCGAUGUCGGAUUAGCUAGUUGGCGGGGUAAAGGCCCACCAAGGCGACGAUCCGUAGCUGGUCUGAGAGGAUGAUCAGCCACACUGGAACUGAGACACGGUCCAGACUCCUACGGGAGGCAGCAGUGGGGAAUAUUGGACAAUGGGCGCAAGCCUGAUCCAGCCAUACCGCGUGGGUGAAGAAGGCCUUCGGGUCGUAAAGCCCUUUUGUUGGGAAAGAAAAGCAGCAGGUUAAUACCCCGCUGUUCUGACGGUACCCAAAGAAUAAGCACCGGCUAACUUCGUG
rnacentral:rRNA from 1 species